UAGGGCUGGCCGUGGGCGAGUUGUUUUGUGAACCGGGUCAGAUUCGGAAGAAAGCAGCCACAGCGAAAUUGGCUUGGGUCACGUGUCCAGUCCGCUUA
rnacentral:SRP_RNA from 1 species